rnacentral:hammerhead_ribozyme from 1 species
GUCCAGCUGAUGAGUUCUGAAUAGAAUGAAACACGUGUCCUGGGU